rnacentral:rRNA from 1 species
CCUACGGGUGGCAGCAGUGAGGAAUAUUGGUCAAUGGACGAGAGUCUGAACCAGCCAAGUAGCGUGAAGGAUGACUGCCCUAUGGGUUGUAAACUUCUUUUAUAUGGGAAUAAAAUGUUCCACGUGUGGGAUUUUGUAUGUACCAUAUGAAUAAGGAUCGGCUAACUCCGUGCCAGCAGCCGCGGUAAUACGGAGGAUCCGAGCGUUAUCCGGAUUUAUUGGGUUUAAAGGGAGCGUAGGUGGAUUGUUAAGUCAGUUGUGAAAGUUUGCGGCUCAACCGUAAAAUUGCAGUUGAAACUGGCAGUCUUGAGUACAGUAGAGGUGGGCGGAAUUCGUGGUGUAGCGGUGAAAGGCUGAGAUAUCACGAAGAACUCCGAUUGCGAAGGCAGCUCACUGGACUGCAACUGACACUGAGGCUCGAAAGUGUGGGUAUCAAACAGGAUUAGAUACCCUAGUAGUC